rnacentral:rRNA from 1 species
UGGUACCUACGGGGGGCAGCAGUGAGGAAUAUUGGUCAAUGGGCGCGAGCCUGAACCAGCCACGUCGCGUGAGGGAAGACGGUCCUAUGGAUUGUAAACCUCUUUUGUCGGGGAGCAAAAGACGCCACGCGUGGCGUUCCGAGAGUACCCGAAGAAAAAGCAUCGGCUAACUCCGUGCCAGCAGCCGCGGUAAUACGGAGGAUGCGAGCGUUAUCCGGAUUUACUGGGUGUAAAGGGCGUGUAGGCGGGGAAGCAAGUCAGAUGUGAAAACCACGGGCUCAACCUGGGGCCUGCAUUUGAAACUG